rnacentral:rRNA from 1 species
UCGAGAAUCUUUGUCAAUGGACGAAAGUCUGAACAAGCGACGCUGCGUGCGGGAUGAAGGCCCUCGGGUUGUAAACCGCUGUCGUAGGGGAACAAAUGUAUUGGGGUACUCCCCUUUACUUGAGUGAUCCUAGGAGGAAGGACGGGCUAAGUUCGUGCCAGCAGCCGCGGUAAGACGAACCGUCCGAACGUUAUUCGGUAUCACUGGGCUUAAAGAGUUCGUAGGCGGCCUGACAGGUCAGGUGUGAAAUCCCACAGCUCAACUGUGGAACUGCGCUUGAAACCGUCGGGCUGGAGGAAGAUAGAGGUGAGUGGAACAGAUGGUGGAGCGGUGAAAUGCGUUGAUAUCAUCUGGAACACCGGUGGCGAAAGCGGCUCACUGGAUCUUUUCUGACGCUGAGGAACGAAAGCUAGGGUAGCGAACGGGAUUAGAUACCCCGGUAGUCC